rnacentral:rRNA from 1 species
GACGAACGCUGGCGGCGUGCUUAACACAUGCAAGUCGAACGGAAAGGCCCUGCUUUUGUGGGGUGCUCGAGUGGCGAACGGGUGAGUAACACGUGAGUAACCUGCCCUUGACUUUGGGAUAACUUCAGGAAACUGGGGCUAAUACCGGAUAGGAGCUCCUGCUGCAUGGUGGGGGUUGGAAAGUUUCGGUGGUUGGGGAUGGACUCGCGGCUUAUCAGCUUGUUGGUGGGGUAGUGGCUUACCAAGGCUUUGACGGGUAGCCGGCCUGAGAGGGUGACCGGCCACAUUGGGACUGAGAUACGGCCCAGACUCCUACGGGAGGCAGCAGUGGGGAAUAUUGCACAAUGGGCGGAAGCCUGAUGCAGCAACGCCGCGUGCGGGAUGACGGCCUUCGGGUUUUAAACCGCUUUCGCCUGUGACGAAGCGUGAGUGACGGUAAUGGGUAAAGAAGCACCGGCUAACUACGUG